rnacentral:rRNA from 1 species
CCUACGGGGGACAGCAGUGAGGAAUAUUGGUCAAUGGGCGCAGGCCUGAACCAGCCAAGUCGCGUGAGGGAAGACUGCCCUAUGGGUUGUAAACCUCUUUUAUAAGGGAAGAAGAAUGACUACGUGUAGUCAGAUGCCCGUACCUUAUGAAUAAGCAUCGGCUAACUCCGUGCCAGCAGCCGCGGUAAUACGGAGGAUGCGAGCGUUAUCCGGAUUUAUUGGGUUUAAAGGGUGCGUGGGCGGUAUGUUAAGUUAGAGGUAAAACGUCGGGGCUUCACCUGGAUUGGCCAUUGAAACUGGAGUACUAGAGUGCAGACGAGGUAGGCGGAAUGAGUUGCGUAGCGGUGAAAUGCUUAGAUAUAACUUAGAACCCCGAUCGCGAAGGCAGCUUACCAGACUGUUACUGACGCUGAGGCACGAAAGCGUGGGUAGCGAACAGGAUUAGAUACCCCUGUAGUC